AAGCUUUAUGGCCUCUGUUUUAUUAAGCGGCAAGAUAACUUGCACAGAACCUUUACCAAAGCUUUUUUCGCCAAUUAAUAGGGCUCUUUUGUUAUCUUGCAGGGCGCCAGCUACAAUUUCACUAGCGCUUGCAGAUCCGCUAUUUAUUAAAACAACAAGUGGAAUUGUGGGAUAUGGCGCGCGUCCAGUGGCGUUAAAUACGCUAUUUUCGGCUUUAUUUUGUCCUUUUUGACUAACUAUUAUUCCAGAUUUUAUAAAUAGAUCUGAUAGCCCGACGGCUUGAUUUAGCAGACCACCUGGAUUGUUGCGC
rnacentral:ncRNA from 1 species